UGGGGAAUAUUGGACAAUGGGCGCAAGCCUGAUCCAGCCAUGCCGCGUGAGUGAUGAAGGCCUUAGGGUUGUAAAGCUCUUUCGGCGGGGACGAUAAUGACGGUACCCGCAGAAGAAGCCCCGGCUAACUUCGUGCCAGCAGCCGCGGUAAUACGAAGGGGGCUAGCGUUGCUCGGAAUCACUGGGCGUAAAGGGCGCGUAGGCGGACAUUUAAGUCGGGGGUGAAAGCCCAGGGCUCAACCCUGGAAUUGCCUCCGAUACUGGGUGUCUCGAGACCGGAAGAGGUGAGUGGAACUGCGAGUGUAGAGGUGAAAUUCGUAGAUAUUCGCAAGAACACCAGUGGCGAAGGCGGCUCACUGGUCCGGUUCUGACGCUGAGGCGCGAAAGCGUGGGGAGCAAACAGGAUUAGAUACCCUGGUAGUCCACGCCGUAAACGAUGGAUGCUAGCCGUUGGCAGGCUUGCCUGUCAGUGGCGCAGCUAACGCUUUAAGCAUCCCGCCUGGGGAGUACGGCCGCAAGGUUAAAACUCAAAGGAAUUGACGGGGUCAUAGCUGUUUCC
rnacentral:rRNA from 1 species